UACGAAGGGGGCUAGCGUUGCUCGGAAUCACUGGGCGUAAAGCGCACGUAGGCGGCUUCUUAAGUCAGGGGUGAAAUCCUGGAGCUCAACUCCAGAACUGCCUUUGAUACUGAGGAGCUUGAGUCCGGGGAGAGGUGAGUGGAACUGCGAGUGUAGAGGUGAAAUUCGUAGAUAAUUCGCAAGAACACCAGUGGCGAAGGCGGCUCACUGGCCCGGUACUGACGCUG
rnacentral:rRNA from 1 species